GACGAACGCUGGCGGCGUGCUUAACACAUGCAGGUCGAGCGGAAAGGCCCUUCGGGGUACUCGAGCGGCGAACGGGUGAGUAACACGUGAGUAAUCUGCCCUUGGCUUCGGGAUAGCCACCGGAAACGGUGAUUAAUACCGGAUACGACCACUCCUGGCAUCAGGUGGUGGUGGAAAGUUUUUCGGCCAGGGAUGUGCUCGCGGCCUAUCAGCUUGAUGGUGAGGUAAUGGCUCACCAUGGCUUCGACGGGUAGCCGGCCUGAGAGGGUGACCGGUCACACUGGGACUGAGACACGGCCCAGACUCCUACGGGAGGCAGCAGUGGGGAAUAUUGGACAAUGGGCGGAAGCCUGAUCCAGCAACGCCGCGGGAGGGAUGACGGCCUUCGGGUUGUAAACCUCUUUCAGCAGGGACGAAGCGCAAGUGACGGUACCUGCAGAAGAAGCACCGGCCAACUACGUGCCAGCCGCCGCGGUAAGAC
rnacentral:rRNA from 1 species